UCCCGUGUAGCUCAGUUGGCAGAGCAACCGGCUCUUAACCGGUGGGGCGCUGGUUCGAUUCCAGCCACGGGAAC
rnacentral:tRNA from 1 species